rnacentral:rRNA from 1 species
AGAGUUUGAUCAUGGCUCAGAGCGAACGCUGGCGGCGUGCUUAACACAUGCAAGUCGAGUGCGCAGUUUCCCGCCGCAAGGCGGGGGAUGGGCGCACGGCGCACGGGUGCGUAACACGUGGGUANCNGCCCUUCGAUGGGGGACAACCCCGCGAAAGCGGGGCUAAUACCGCAUGACAUUCCGUUGAUUUCGAUCGCCGGAAUCAAAGCCCGCAAGGGCGUCGGAGGAGGGGCCCGCGCCCGAUUAGCUUGUUGGUGAGGUAAUGGCUCACCAAGGCUAUGAUCGGUAGCCGGUCUAAGAGGACGAUCGGCCACACUGGAACUGAGACACGGUCCAGACUCCUACGGGAGGCAGCAGUGGGGAAUCUUGCGCAAUGGGCGAAAGCCUGACGCAGCGACGCCGCGUGGGGGAUGAAGCCCUUCGGGGUGUAAACCCCUUUCGACCCGGACGAAUGGCCCGCAAGGGAAUUGACGGUACGGGUAGAAGAAGCCCCGGCUAACUACGUGCCAGCAGCCGCGGUAAAACGUAGGGGGCCAGCGUUGCUCGGUAUUACUGGGCGUAAAGGGUUCGUAGGCGGUGCGGCAAGUCGGAAGUGAAAUCUCAGGGCUUAACUCUGAGGCUGCUUCCGAAACUGCCGCGCUCGAGUGCGGGAGAGGCGAGUGGAAUUGCAGGUGUAGCGGUGAAAUGCGUAGAUAUCUGCAGGAACACCCGUGGCGAAGGCGGCUCGCUGGACCGCAACUGACGCUGAGGAACGAAAGCUAGGGGAGCAAACAGGAUUAGAUACCCUGGUAGUCCUAGCCCUAAACCAUCAGGACUUGGGGUGCAUCCCGUUUGGGGUGCGUCCCGGAGCUAACGCGUUAAGUCCUGCGCCUGGGGAGUACGGUCGCAAGGCUGAAACUCAAAUGAAUUGACGGG